rnacentral:lncRNA from 1 species
GCGCCUUUGCCCUCCUGCUUUUAUUUCCCCAGCAAGCUGUAGAAACACGUAUGUUGCUCCAUCCCCUGUGCAACCAGCCAAGAAGCUGAACUGAAUCUGGAUGCACUCUAGAAAUAUCCUUGCAGCAUAAGAUGUGCUUUGCAAGCUUCAUGGUAACUGAUGUAGAACAUAUUUCUUUGCACUGACUCCAGAAGGGACAAUGGACCAAGGAACUUAAGAUCAAUUCAGUUUUUCCUGAUCCACUUGGUGAGUUGUUCUACUGGUGGUGGGGACAGCUAUUCCCGUACUCUAAUCACUGUUAAAUCACUGGAGCUAGUUUCUGCUGAAAUGUUGAAGUGAUAAACUAUGCCUUAACGCACUUAGCCCAAGCAGAUAUCUCUACAGCGCAAAUGCAACCAGAGUUAGAAACCUCAGAACAAAUACUCCAGGGUCUGUAGGAGUCUUGAAUUUUCUCUUCCUUCUCCCCUAGGAUUCAGGUGGUCCCCAAAGACCAUCUCUGCUCUUCGUGGGUAUUUCUGCAUCAGAACCACUCCGUCCCCACCACCCUCCGAGAGCUCAGGUGCAAAUCAUCUCCUCAUUAAGCUCCUUGUACAAAUUCACAUACAAAUCCAGAAAAACAAACAGUGGAUAUGAAGAGGCAUUCAGCAGAAUUGGUGGUUGCUUAUAGUGCAGCUUGACUAAUUAGGCCAGCAUUUCCUGUGGUUAGUGUGCAAUUUAUUCGAAGAGUAAGGUAGGUCUAAAGAGGGUCACUGUGUUUGUGUUGACUGUGAAUUUCUUUCCUAUGAUUUCAGAAUUUCUGUUGCCUGUGUUACUCAGGAGAUAAUGUAAAUGCAUUGUC